rnacentral:rRNA from 1 species
UUGAGCUCGGAUCAGGUAGGGAUACCCGCUGAACUUAAGCAUAUCAAUAAGCGGAGGAAAAGAAACCAACAGGGAUUGCCUCAGUAACGGCGAGUGAAGCGGCAACAGCUCAAAUUUUAAAGCUGGCGUCUUCGACGCCCGCGUUGUAAUUUGGAGAGGCAUCUUCGGUUUGGGCGCCAGCCUAUGUUCCUUGGAACAGGACGUCACAGAGGGUGAGAAUCCCGUGCUUGGCUGGCUGUCCCUUGCCAUGUGAAGUGCCUUCGACGAGUCGAGUUGUUUGGGAAUGCAGCUCAAAAUGGGUGGUAAAUUCCAUCUAAAGCUAAAUAUUGGCGGGAGACCGAUAGCGCACAAGUAGAGUGAUCGAAAGAUGAAAAGCACUUUGAAAAUAGAGUUAAAAAGUACGUGAAAUUGUUGAAAGGGAAGCGCUUGAGACCAGACUCGGCCGGAGAUGAUCAGCCGUCCUUCUGGGCGGUGCACUUGUCUCCGGUCGGGCCAGCAUCGGUUGAGACGGCGGGAUAAAGGCCCGGGGAAUGUGGCUCCUUUCGGGGAGUGUUAUAGCCCCGGACGCAAUGCCGCCAGCCUCGACCGAGGACCGCGCUUUGCUAGG